CAGUGUCAUCACAGCACCUGAAUCCCUCACAAGAUACAGACCACUGAUAUUCCGCCUUCCUUUUACCUUGGAAUCUUGGGUACACCUGGCUUGACUGCCUAUGUUGGUUUGCACGAGAUAUGUUCGCCGAAGGAGGGUGAAUAUGUCUUCAUUUCAGCAGCAUCCGGUGCAGUAGGACACAUUAUAGGUCAACUUGCAAAACUGAAGGGCUGCUAUGUUGUUGGUAGUGCUGGUAGUGAUGAAAAGGUUGAUUUGCUGAAAAGCAAGUGUGGAUUUGAUGAGGCCUUCAAUUACAAUAAGGAGCAGGAUCUGGAUGCUGCUUUGAAAAGGUACUUUCCUCAAGGCAUUGACAUAUACUUUGAGAACGUUGGGGCAAAAUGCUCGAUGCAGUGCUGCUCAACAUGAGACCCCAUGGUAGAAUAGCAGUAUGUGGAAUGAUCUCACAGUAUAACAUGGAUAAGCCUGAAGGGUUAAAAAUCUGAUGCUUCUUGUGUACAAACAGUUUGCGGAUGGAAGGUUUUUAUGGUAUCUGCUUACUAUGACUUGUACCCAAAAUUCUUGGAUGAGGCGAUAUCUUACAUCAGAGAAGGGAAGAUAGUCUAUGUGGAAGAUACUGUUGAAGGGCUAGAGAGUUGUCCGGGUGCUCUCGCGGGGCUAUUUGAGGGGCGUAAUGUCGGUAAACAAGUGGUUCGAGUUGGUCAAGAUUAAGUAAUGUAUGGGCACGCUCUUGGAAUUGUCCUAGAUAUUCUGUGAUCAUAUGUGGCUACUUAAAUAUGUCACUGGGCAAUGCCUGAAAGAUUGAUCUUGAAAUUGUGACGGGCAUAGCUUUUAUCAAAUGAGUCGGAUAAUUACCUGAUAAUUGGUUCCGACCUUCA